rnacentral:rRNA from 1 species
GUUAUAUGGUCAAGCGAAUAAGCGCACACGGUGGAUGCCUAGGCGGUCAGAGGCGAUGAAGGACGUGGUAGCCUGCGAAAAGUGUCGGGGAGCUGGCAACAAGCUUUGAUCCGGCAAUAUCCGAAUGGGGAAACCCACUGCUUCGGCAGUAUCCUGCAGUGAAUUCAUAGCUGCUGGAAGCGAACCCGGUGAACUGAAAUAUCUAAGUAACCGGAGGAAAAGAAAUCAACCGAGAUUCCCUAAGUAGUGACGAGCGAACGGGGAGCAGCCCUUAAGCUGGAAUGGCUUUAGAAAAACAAUCUGGAAAGAUUGGCCAUAGAAGGUGAUAGCCCUGUAUUUAAAAGGGCCACUCCAGUGAAGACGAGUAGGGCGGGGCACGUGAAACCCUGUCUGAAUAUGGGGGGACCAUCCUCCAAGGCUAAAUACUCUUGACCGACCGAUAGUGAACCAGUACCGUGAGGGAAAGGCGAAAAGAACCCCGGAGAGGGGAGUGAAAUAGAUCCUGAAACCGUGUGCGUACAAGCAGUAGGAGCUCGCAAGAGUGACUGCGUACCUUUUGUAUAAUGGGUCAGCGACUUACUGUUCGUGGCAAGCUUAACCGUAUAGGGGAGGCGAAGGGAAACCGAGUCUGAUAAGGGCGCAUAGUCGCGGGCAGUAGACCCGAAACCGGGUGAUCUAGUCAUGGCCAGGGUGAAGGUGCCGUAACAGGUACUGGAGGCCCGAACCCACGUCUGUUGCAAAAGACGGGGAUGAGCUGUGAUUAGGAGUGAAAAGCUAAUCGAACCCGGAGAUAGCUGGUUCUCCUCGAAAGCUAUUUAGGUAGCGCCUCAUAUGUAUCCUCUCGGGGGUAGAGCACUGUUAUGGCUAGGGGGUCAUCGCGACUUACCAAACCAUUGCAAACUCCGAAUACCGAGACGGACUGUAUGGGAGACACACGGCGGGUGCUAACGUCCGUCGUGAAAAGGGAAACAACCCAGACCCACAGCUAAGGUCCCAAAUUCACUGCUAAGUGGAAAACGAUGUGGAAAGGCAUAGACAGCCAGGAGGUUGGCUUAGAAGCAGCCACCCUUUAAAGAAAGCGUAAUAGCUCACUGGUCGAGUCGGUCUGCGCGGAAGAUUUAACGGGGCUAAGCAGUGAACCGAAGCUUGGGGUGCAUAAAACGUGUUUUAUGCGCGGUAGAGGAGCGUUCCGUAAGCCUGCGAAGGUGGAUUGAGAAGUCUGCUGGAGGUAUCGGAAGUGCGAAUGCUGACAUGAGUAACGAUAAUGCGGGUGAAAAGCCCGCACGCCGAAAGCCCAAGGUUUCCUUGCGCAACGUUAAUCGACGCAGGGUUAGUCGGUCCCUAAGGCGAGGGCUAAAGCCGUAGUCGAUGGGAAGCAGGUUAAUAUUCCUGCACCUCGCGUGAGUGCGAUGGAGGGACGGAGAAGGUUAGGUGUACCGGGCGUUGGUUGUCCCGGGGAAAGGCGGUAGGUUUGGAUCUUUGGCAAAUCCGGGAUCCUUUAAGACCGAGCACCGAGACGAGCCUUUUUGGCGAAGUCACUGAUACCACGCUUCCAGGAAAAGCUCCUAAGCUUCAGCUCACGAAGACCGUACCGUAAACCGACACAGGUGGGUAGGAUGAGAAUUCUCAGGCGCUUGAGAGAACUCGGGUGAAGGAACUAGGCAACAUGGCACCGUAACUUCGGGAGAAGGUGCACCCUUUUUGGUGGCUCAUGCGAGCUAUAGCUGAAGAGGGUCGCAGAAACCAGGCCGCUGCGACUGUUUAUCAAAAACACAGCACUCUGCAAACACGAAAGUGGACGUAUAGGGUGUGACGCCUGCCCGGUGCUGGAAGGUUAAUUGAUGGGGUCAGCCGCAAGGCGAAGCUCUUGAUCGAAGCCCCAGUAAACGGCGGCCGUAACUAUAACGGUCCUAAGGUAGCGAAAUUCCUUGUCGGGUAAGUUCCGACC